AAUGAACGUUGGCGGCGUGGAUUAGGCAUGCAAGUCGAGCGAGAAGUCCUUCGGGACGGACAGCGGCGAAAGGGAGAGGAAUACGUAGAAAUCUACCCCUGAGACCGGGAUAGCGUCGGGAAACUGGCAGUAAUACCGGAUAAUGUCUUAGGACCAAAGGUGUGAUUCCACUUGGGGAUGAGUCUACGCCCUAUUAGCUAGUUGGUGGGGUAAUGGCCUACCAAGGCGAUGAUGGGUAGCGGGUGUGAGAGCAUGAUCCGCCUCACUGGGACUGAGAACUGCUCAGACACCUACGGGUGGCUGCAGUCGAGAAUCUUUGUCAAUGGACGAAAGUCUGAACAAGCGACGCCGCGUGCGGGAUGAAGGCCUUCGGGUUGUAAACCGCUGUCGUAGGGGAACAAAUGUACGGGGGUACUCCCCUGUAUUUGAGUGAUCCUAGGAGGAAGGAGAGGCUAAGCUCGUGCCAGCAGCCGCCGUAA
rnacentral:rRNA from 1 species